rnacentral:rRNA from 1 species
GCCGCGGUAUUUUGACCGUGCGAAGGUAGCAUAAUCAUUAGUCUUUUAAUUGAAGGCUUGUAUGAAGGGUUGGACGAGAAAUAAGCUGUCUUUAUUGGAAAAAUAGAAUUUAACUUUUAAGUGAGAGGGCUUAAAUGUUCUAAAGGGACGAUAAGACCCUAUAAAGUUUGACAUUUUAUUCAUUAAAAAAUAAAAUAAUUAAUUAAUUUUUAUUAGUGGAGUAGUGUUUUGUUGGGGCGAUUAGAAUAUAAAGAAUUUAACUGUUUUAUAUUAAUACAAAGUUGUUUGAGUGUCUUGAUCUUUAAUAAAGGUAUUAGAGUAAAUUACUUUAGGGAUAACAGCGUAAUUUUUUUUGAGAGUUCUUAUCGACAAAAAAGUUUGCGACCUCGAUGUUGAAUUAAAGAAUUCUUUAUAGCGCAGAAGUUAUAAAAGAAGGUCUGUUCGACCUUUAAAUCUUUACAU